AGCCCAUAAAAAUCCUUGCUAACAAAAACCCGUACCAUAAGUCAUAAAAAGCCCAUCUGCUCGCCUCUCUCCGGCGUCACUCCCCCACCCCCCGAAAAACCCCAAGUGCUAAAACCCUAACUCCCGAACAUUUAAAUCUGUCUCUCUCUCCGCAGCGUGCAGUCUCUUUUAGAAGAAGAAAAUGGCGAGUAUCAUCUUAAAAAGGUCUUCUUCGAUAAUCUCCAGGCGGGCUCUCGCCGCCUUCACCACAGCCACCCUUCCAAAACUAUACCUUCAUCAGCACCAUCCGCUAGCAUCAUCGGCAUCCGACCUUCUUCCUGGAAAUGGAAGUAUAUCUUUCUUCCAUAAAGCCAGGGACUUCCAUGCCAAAUCUGGGCCCUUGUAUUUCAGGGUCUCGUUGCCGUCGCAGGCCGAGUACGCUGCCGUAGACGAUUACGAGGUGAACGCUGCCGCUGAUGACGAGGGCCUCGAGAUAGCCAAGCUCGGGAUUUCCUCGGAGAUUGUCUCUGCUUUGGCCAAGAAGGGCAUCACUAAGCUCUUUCCCAUUCAGAAAGCGGUGCUGGAACCAGCAAUGCAAGGGCGUGACAUGAUUGGUCGAGCUAGAACAGGAACGGGCAAAACUCUUGCUUUUGGAAUUCCCAUUAUGGAUAAGAUCAUUCAGUUCAACGCUAAACAUGGGCGGGGCAGGUAUCCGCUGGCGUUGGUUUUGGCCCCAACAAGGGAGCUCGCCCGCCAGGUUGAGAAGGAAUUUGCUGAGUCCGCGCCAGGAUUGGAUACAAUUUGCGUUUAUGGCGGUACGCCCAUCUCAAGCCAAAUGAGGCAGCUUGACUAUGGUGUUGAUGUAGCUGUUGGCACACCUGGUCGCAUUAUUGAUCUUUUGAACAGAGGUGCUCUGAACUUGUCAGAAGUUCAGUUUGUUGUUCUUGAUGAAGCUGACCAGAUGCUUCAAGUUGGCUUCCAGGAGGAAGUUGAAAAAAUCUUGGAGAAGUUGCCGCGGGAUCGUCAGAGUUUGAUGUUCUCUGCAACAAUGCCAUCUUGGAUAAAAAAACUCACCCAAAAUUACCUAAAAAAUCCACUAACAAUUGAUCUGGUUGGAGAUUCUGAUCAGAAGUUGGCUGAUGGAAUUUCUCUAUACUCGAUUGCAUCAGACAAUUAUGGAAAAGCUUCAAUUAUUGGACCUCUGAUAACAGAGCAUGCAAAAGGAGGAAAAUGUAUUGUUUUCACUCAAACAAAACGUGAUGCUGAUCGUUUGGCAUAUGCCAUGGGAAGAAACUACAAAUGCGAGGCUUUGCAUGGGGAUAUCUCUCAAAGUCAGAGGGAAAGAACACUUGCAGGUUUCCGAGAUGGGAAUUUCAAUAUUUUAGUUGCCACUGAUGUUGCCUCUCGUGGCCUUGAUAUACCUAAUGUUGAUCUGGUAAUACAUUACGAGCUUCCCAACAAUUCGGAGAUAUUUGUUCAUCGAUCAGGCCGAACAGGUCGUGCCGGGAAGAAAGGAAAUGCUAUCCUUAUUUACACACAGGACCAGGCAAGGGCUGUCAGAGUUAUAGAGCGAGACGUUGGAUGCAGAUUUACAGAGCUACCCAAAAUUGCUGUUGAGGGUGGAAGUGGGGACAUGUUAGCUGACAUGGGUGGUGGUGGUAGAUUUGGCUCUCAUGGAGGCAUGAGGGAUCGUCGGUCUGGUGAUAGUGGCUUUAGCCGCUUUAGCGGUCAAGGGCGUCCUGGAUCUGGUCGUAGCGGUGGCUAUGGAGAUUCCUAUGGUCAAACAGGCUCUGGACGUUUUGGUUCCUUUGGUGGCCCUGGCUCACACAAAUCUGGAGGUGGUUUUCCUGGCUCUAGCUCAAACCGAUCUGGGAACUUUAGUGGUUCUGGGUCUAGUCGUUCAGGUUCUUUCGGCGAUUUUAGUAGUUCAGACCGUUCUGGUGGUUUUGGGGGCUUUGGUUCAGGCCGUUCUAGUGGAUUUGGUGACAACCUAUCAAGCCAAACCAGCAGUGGCUUCAGUGAUUCUCGUACUAGACGUUUUGGCAGCUUUGGGGAUGAUAGAAUCAAUGAUGAUCAGAACACUGGGAGAAGAGCAUUCUGACUUUGUUGAAUGGUAAGGAAACAAUUGAAGACAGCUAUCAAUGCGGAGAUGAAUACUGAGAGACAAUGAUUUAUUUGAUUAAUAGUGUUUCAUGGGAGGGGCAAGCGGCUUAUAGGGAAUUCUGCACCUACAAGAUAAACAAUAUCUGGGAUCCAGCAGGAAAAAGGAUAAAUGGAAAACAGCCUUCAUAUAUGCAAGUUGAUGUAUGGAAGAUUAUUGGUGUUCUUUUUUUAUUUAAGUAGUUUGUUGAACAUUUGAAAGAGUUGGUUCUCUUGCAGUGAUGGACUGUACCAUUUGGCGUAUUAUGAGGAGCACGAGCAUGGGUUGGAGUGCGUUUCUACUUCUUUCCCUGUUAUUUCUUCUUCUACCUACCUUUGUGAAAUGAUUCAUUGGUAAAAGUAAAGCUUAGGCGUUAUUUGGUUUGCGGAAUUAGUAUUUCAUUGGAAAAUUGAAUAGUUAUUAUCAUUUACUGGGAAUAAAAGAGAGUGUAAUUGAAUGGUUA